CAGUCGCCGCGGGAAUACGUAGGUGGCAAGCGUUGUCCGGAAUUAUUGGGCGUAAAGCGCGCGCAGGUGGUUUAAUAAGUCUGAUGUGAAAGCCCACGGCUCAACCGUGGAGGGUCAUUGGAAACUGUUAAACUUGAGUGCGGGAGAGAAAAGUGGAAUUCCUAGUGUAGCGGUGAAAUGCGUAGAGAUUAGGAGGAACACCAGUGGCGAAGGCGGCUUUUUGGCCUGUAACUGACACUGAGGCGCGAAAGCGUGGGGAGCAAACAGGAUUAGAUACCCCAGUAGUCCCUGUCUCUUAUAC
rnacentral:rRNA from 1 species